rnacentral:tRNA from 1 species
GACCCCAUCGUCCAGUGGUUAGGACUCCAGAUUUUCGAUCUGGCAACACGGGUUCGACCCCCGUUGGGGUCG